rnacentral:rRNA from 1 species
GCUGGUGCGGAAACGUACAUGUGCGCGGCCUUUGUGCUCAAUCCACUCAAACCCAUGUGCACCCUGCGAAGUUAGUAGCUUCUCUCUCUCUGUGUCUGCGUCUGCUCCGUAUCCUCCUUUGACUGUAUGUAAGAGCCUCGCCCUGUGCGGGUUCAAACUUGGUCGGAGGGGGGUGGAGGAGGGGACGGACGNUGCGAGGAAGCGAGCACUUUGAUUUUUACUACAAACACACUGUAAUGUCUUGUUGAAUGCGAUGCUCCUNGUGAGCGAAACUAAAUACAACUUUCAACAACGGAUCUCUUGGCUCUCGCAUCGAUGAAGAACGCAGCGAAAUGCGAUAAGUAAUGUGAAUUGCAGAAUUCAGUGAAUCAUCGAAUCUUUGAACGCACCUUGCGCCCCUUGGUAUUCCGAGGGGCAUGCCUGUUUGAGUGUCAUGUUAAUCUCAAACCACGAGUCUUUUUAACUAGAGACUUGUUNGGUUUGGACUUGGAGGUUACUGCCGGCUCCCCCUUCCCCUGUAGUCGGCUCCUCUGAAAUGCAUUAGCUGGACUUUGGUUCGCAUCUACGGUGUAAUAGUAACUUGUAUUCCGCGGGUGCCUGCCUAGGGAGUCCGCUUCUAGUCGCCCUCCGGCAAGGUCCUUCUGUGACCUUCUUGAACACUUUGACCUCAGAUCAGGUAGGACUACCCGCUGAACUUAA